UCCAGACUCCUACGGGAGGCAGCAGUGGGGAAUAUUGCACAAUGGGGGAAACCCUGAUGCAGCAACGCCGCGUGAGUGAAGAAGUAUUUCGGUAUGUAAAGCUCUAUCAGCAGGGAAGAAGAUGACGGUACCUGACUAAGAAGCCCCGGCUAACUACGUGCCAGCAGCCGCGGUAAUACGUAGGGGGCAAGCGUUAUCCGGAUUUACUGGGUGUAAAGGGAGCGUAGACGGCAGGGCAAGUCUGGAGUGAAAUCCCGGGGCUUAACCCCGGAACUGCUUUGGAAACUGUGCGGCUGGAGUGCAGGAGGGGUAAGCGGAAUUCCUAGUGUAGCGGUGAAAUGCGUAGAUAUUAGGAGGAACACCGGUGGCGAAGGCGGCUUACUGGACUGUAGCUGACGUUGAGGCUCGAAAGCGUGGGGAGCAAACAGGAUUAGAUACCCCUGUAACG
rnacentral:rRNA from 1 species